UGGACGGUUGGGCCCCUUCCCUUCCCUUCCCUUCUCUAAUCCUCAGCCUCCCCGCAACAGAUCUCUGAGCCCUGGCCUCUCCUUGCGGGGUCGGGGGGGAGAGAGAUGCAAGUGAGGCUGGGCAGAUCUUGCCUAACCACUCCUGGCCAAGUUCCAACUCCAUUGGGAUAAGGGGAAAGGCUCCCACAGUUAGCAUAUUUGCUAUUAUUGUUAUUUUUAAGCGUUUAGCAUGUGCCAGGCACAGCGCUAAGUUCUUUUAUCAUACAUCAUCUCUUUAAAACUUCACACCAGAUCUACGAGACAGGUACUCUGUCUCCCAGAGCUUGCCCAAGACCACACAGCGAGAACCAGGAUUUUCUCUGCUGGACACUUCUCAAUGCCUCUGACUGCUGCCUCCAAGGAGGGCGUGUUGCCCAGGGAACUGAGAUGAAGAAACAACUCCAGCGUUGCACAAGGUCCCACAGGGAUCAGUCACGUGGUCGGCCACAACAGAGGGUUCCUCAUGACAGGGGACCAUGAGUUGGAUCCUGGCCAGAAGUCAGAAGCCCCUUGAGGGCAAGGACCCCAUUUUACCCCAUUCCUCCCUGCUGUACCUAGCACAGGGCACAGCACAUAGUAGGUGCUCAAAAAGUCCUUCCCGAGUAAAUCUUGCAUCCCUCAGUAGCUGCAGUCACCUGCCGUUCAUGCCGUCAUUCAUUUAUUCAGCAUUUAGUAAGCGCUGACUGUGUGCUUGGCACCCUAGUAGGCGCUGGGACGCACAGUUGAAAAAGGCACAGUGCCUGCCCCUGUUGGCUUAUCUCCUGGUGGGGGUUUCAGGGGUUACCCCACAUUAUGACACAUGCCCCCAUAGUUUUUCUCAUUCCUCUGCCCAGCCUGGUACUUGCCGCCUGCUCUUUGCCCAUGCCGGAGGCUGAGCAGUCUGCUCCACUCCCGCCCCCAGGCCAUUCCCACUGUCUUCUUGGCCAGACCAGACAACCCUUCCUCCCAAGCCGCCUCCCUCCCCUCCUCCAGGAAGCCCUCUUUGACUAAGUCCCCCAGCCGCUCUGCAGGCCCCAGUGCUGAGGUCUUGAGCUCUGCCCAGGUAUCUCUGGUUCUGUCUCUCUGUUUCUGUUUCCCCCCGUCAGCCUCUGGAGCUUCCCAAACACAGGGACUGCCUCCCCUCCAGCUGUUUUUCCUCAGGCCUACAUAGACCAGAAGAGGCAGGAAGGGAGGUCAUGUGGUCAGCUCCCAGCACACAGGGCCUGCCUUGGGCCCUGGCCCCGGGAGCCCCUUAGAGGAAGAUUUCUCUGGAACUACUAGGGCACUGACUUAGUCUUGGCCCAAGACCCCUGAGCCCUGAUCUUCCUCACUGUGCCUGGGGGCUCAGGCUGGACACCAGCUGUUGGGUACCCACUCAGCUCCAGCACCCUUUGUGUUUGAAGUUCGGGACCUUCAGUCUGCACUUCACCAACUCCUGGGCUUGGCCAUUUUACUGUCCCCGUGGCAGGUAGUCUACAGGUAGUUGGGAGGACCAGAGACCAAGGAGAAGAAAGAGCCAAGCCCAGCUGUUACAGUUCGGAGUGCUCAAUCAAGACACGUGCUAUUCCUGGUAGGAGUGAACCCAGCCAUCUUGUCAGAUCCCCAGACACCCUUUUAGGUAAGUAGGGAAGCUGUAUGCUCAUUUUACAGAUGGGAAAAGUGAGGCUCUGUUUGAGGUCUCAUUCCAGUGAGUGGGUGAGCCAGGACACGAAUGCUUUAAAGGCCCCUCUUCACCCCCAAGAUUCCUGUCCUUGAGACAUCUCUUCUUCCUGUUCUGAUCCCCGGGUUCCCUGAACCAGCCCCUCUCCCCUGCCUUCUUCAUUUGGAGAGGAAGUUCAGCUGGCUACCCUGAGCAGAUAGCUCCUCUCUUGACCUGAUAGUGAGCUUCUCGAGGUGGCGGGGUGGGGAAUGCUCAGAGGUGUCUUACCACAGGGCUGGGCUUAGAUAAGGCCCUCAAUCCUUGUUUGUUGAUCUAGAAUUUGAUUGGGCAGGAUUAGGCCUGUACCUAUCAGAAAAUAUUCUGGGCUGUGCCAGCCAGCACAGUCGGACAGAAGUGCUUGAGGGGAGAACUGCCACCACAUAGGGAAUCCCCCGUGUCUGUGCUUGCUGAGGCGGCCACGUGGUGCCUGGGCAUAUCGGGAGGCGCUGGGAACAU